rnacentral:rRNA from 1 species
GAUAAACGCUAGCGGCAGGCUUAACACAUGCAAGUCGAGGGGCAGCAUAGAUUGUAGCAAUACAAUUGGUGGCGACCGGCGCACGGGUGCGUAACGCGUAUGCAACCUACCCGUCACAGGGGGAUAAUCCGGAGAAAUCUGGUCUAAUACCCCAUAACAUAUGGAUCGGCAUCGGUUCAUGUUGAAAUUUUCGGAGGUGACGGAUGGGCAUGCGUAGCAUUAGCUUGUUGGUGAGGUAACGGCUCACCAAGGCGACGAUGCUUAGGGGGACUGCGAGAGUUUCCCCCCACAGGGGUGAUGAGACACAGACCAGACUCCUACUGUAGGCAGCAGUGAGCAAUAUUGAACAAUCGGCGCAAGCCUUUACCCGCAAUGCCGCGUGCAGUAUAACGGAUUUAUGAGUUGUAAACUGAUUUUGUAUGAGGGUAAAGUGGGUUACGUGUAACCUUUUGGAAGUAUCGUACGAAUAAGGAUCGGCUAACUCCGUGCCAGCCGCCGCGGUAA